rnacentral:lncRNA from 1 species
CAGUUGGGAUCUGUCGUGUGGGUCCUGGAAAAUGAAUUCUGCAAAGGCAGUGGGUGCCCUGGGCCACUGAGUUGUCUCUGCAGCCUCUCCUUCUAUACUGAAGUUUACCCACAUACAAGGUAGUCAGGUUCGGAUACUGCUUCUAGCCGCUCAGGUGACACAUACAGAAUGGAGCACUAGCAGCGAUUUGAGGUCUAUCGUCCAGCACAGUGCCACCCCCAACUUUUCUGUUUGUGGGGAGACAGGGUGAGAGAGCAGAAACCUAACCGGUUUUCCAACAGUGCACACUCUGAGACACCUCUGCUGAUAAAGGAAGCCUGCUUCUUUGGUUAAUUUUCAGUAACACUGGUACCUACUUUAUAUCAAGGAGGCUGAAAAGCAACAUACAGAGACUAGACUCUUAAAGCAGCUAAGGGUCAUCGGGUGUCCUUCUCUGGGCUAGGUAAAACCCUGCUUGCUUGACACUCUUCAAAGUAAAACUUUAAACCCCAAUCAAGGUUUAGCGCUGGCUGAGCUGAGAAGGAAGACCCGCCAGGAUUUAUGGGAACUGUUAGGGAAACUGGAGAAAGAGACAGGACUGGGAACUCGUGGGGUCCACAGGAGGGCUUCCUGUGAACAAUCGAGGGACGGAUGUGUUUGACUCCAUCAAUCCCACCUUUCAAUCCACCGUGUGUCUCUGCACUUUUUGCCUUUGGCUUUCUAGGGGGGCCGUUGGCCCACAUCGAACUGGGCUUAGCUUUUCUGUUUCCAGAAUUUUCUUCCGUUGCUUCAGUGCUGGCGGAGGGGUUGGAGCAGUGGGCGGAAAAGAAGCAAUGGGGGACAUGAAGAGACUUCGCUUGUAAUUAUUUGGUUUGAACAUAUAAUUUGAGUUUUAAAACGUCUGUACUAAGUACGUGAACAUGGUCAGGAGACUUGCCCAAAGGGCCUCCGUGUGCACACCCACAGAUAUGCCUAGAUUUUUCUCCCAGUAUCAUUUGAAUGGCUGGCUGCGAUUAGAGCCCUGGGAAGAAAAGGAGUCCGGUAAAAGACAGAAGGCCAAUGGGAUCUGUCUUCUAGUCCGGUUUGCCACAACCAAGAAAGUUUAAGCUCAACAAAGUGAAGACCAGACAGUUGAAUGGGAAAAUGAAAAGGAGUGUGAACUAUCCUACAGGAGACAAGAAAAAAUGAGGCAGAGGAAGUGCCUUCGAACAACGAGCAAGGAGCAAGGAAAGAAAGAAAAAAAUGAGAAUACCAGCUCGACAGUCCAGAAAUGCCUGGUAUUUGUGAGGUUUAAUUCCCAGUACUGGAGAAGUUUAAAUUAAAAUAUGUAUGUACAAGGAAGAAAUAAAAGCGAGCACAGACUGGGAAAGAACCGAGCAGGGUGGGAAGGGGGAGAGAAAAAAAAAACACGAAAGGAAGGGGAUGAGAAAG